AUUGAACGCUGGCGGCAGGCUUAACACAUGCAAGUCGAGCGGGGUGAUGGUGCUUGCACUAUCACUUAGCGGCGGACGGGUGAGUAAUGCUUAGGAAUCUGCCUAUUAGUGGGGGACGACAUCUCGAAAGGGAUGCUAAUACCGCAUACGUCCUACGGGAGAAAGCAGGGGAUCACUUGUGACCUUGCGCUAAUAGAUGAGCCUAAGUCGGAUAGCUAGUUGGUGGGGUAAAGGCCUACCAAGGCGACGAUCUGUAGCGGGUCUGAGAGGAUGAUCCGCCACACUGGGACUGAGACACGGCCCAGACUCCUACGGGAGGCAGCAGUGGGGAAUAUUGGACAAUGGGGGGAACCCUGAUCCAGCCAUGCCGCGUGUGUGAAGAAGGCCUUAUGGUUGUAAAGCACUUUAAGCGAGGAGAAGGCUCUUUUGGUUAAUACCCAAGAUGAGUGGACGUUACUCGCAGAAUAAGCACCGGCUAACUCUGUGCCAGCAGCCGCAGUAA
rnacentral:rRNA from 1 species